CCUACGGGCGGCAGCAGUGGGGAAUAUUGCACAAUGGGCGAAAGCCUGAUGCAGCAACGCCGCGUGAAGGAAGAAGGGUUUCGGCUCGUAAACUUCUAUCAACAGGGACGAAAGAAAUGACGGUACCUGAAUAAGAAGCACCGGCUAACUACGUGCCAGCAGCCGCGGUAAUACGUAGGGGGCAAGCGUUAUCUGGACUUACUGGGUGUAAAGGGUGAGUAGGCGGCAUGGUAAGACAGAUGUGAAAGCCUUGGGCUUAAACCUAGGAUUGCAUUUGGAACUAUCAAGCUAGAGUACAGGAGAGGAGAGCGGAAUUCCUAGGGGAGCGGUGAAAUGCGUAGAGAUUAGGAAGAACACCAGUGGCGAAGGCGGCUUUCUGGACUGAAACUGACGCGGAGGCACGAAAGCGUGGGUAGCGAACAGGAUUAGAGACCCGAGUAGUC
rnacentral:rRNA from 1 species